rnacentral:rRNA from 1 species
CAUGUCCUUUUGAUUAUAAUUUAAGGUCUGAUCUGCUCAAUGAGUAGUUAAAUUGCCGCAGUAUUUUGACUGUGCAAAGGUAGCAUAAUAAUUAGUUUCUUAAUUAGAAGCUGGAAUGAAUGAUUGGACGAGAAAAUUACUGUCUCUUUUUAAAUUUUUAUUGAAUUUUAUUUUUAAGUCAAAAAGCUUAAAUUUUUAUAAAAGACGAGAAGACCCUAUAGAGUUUAAUGAUUUAAUUAUAUAGUUUUUUAGAAAGUUUUUUUUAAUUUAAUCAUUUAGUUGGGGUGACUAGGAGAUUUAGAUAAUUCUUUUUGUUUUUUUUAUUGAUGAUUAUUAAUUAUUGUUUGUAAUUUUUUUAAAUUAAAAGAAAAUUACCUUAGGGAUAACAGCGUUAUUUUUCUUUAAAGUUCUUAUUAAAAGAAAAUUUUGCGACCUCGAUGUUGGAUUAAAAUUAAUUUUUGGUGCAGUAACUUAAAAAUUGGGUCUGUUCGACCUUUAAAAUUUUACAUGAUCUGAGUUUAGACCGGCGUGAGCCAGGUUGGAUUCUAUCUUUAGAAAUAUAAAAUAUUUUAGUACGAAAGGACCAAAUAUUUAUUUUAAUAAAUUG